rnacentral:rRNA from 1 species
UAGCGGAGAAAUUCCAAUCGAACUCGGAGAUAGCUGGUUCUCCUCGAAAUAGCUUUAGGGCUAGCCUUGAGAAAAAAGAUAUGUGGGGGUAGAGCACUGAAGGUGCUAGGGGCCUCAACCAGGUUACUGAACACUAUCAAACUACGAAUACCAUAUAGAAAUCUCAGGAGUCAGACUGCGGGAGCUAAGUUCCGUGGUCAAAAGGGAAAGAGCCCAGAUCGUCAAUUAAGGUCCCAAAGAUAUAGCUAAGUGGCAAACGAUGUGAUUUUGCGUAAACAACCAGGAUGUUGGCUUAGAAGCAGCCAUACAUUUAAAGAGUGCGUAAUAGCUCACUGGUCGAGUGAAGUUGCGCGGAAAAUUACCGGGGCUAAGCUAUACACCGAAAUUGCGGAUUUACACUUGAAAGAUAGUGUAAGUGGUAGAGGAGCAUUCUGUAGUAGGGAGAAGCAAAAGCGAGAGCAUUUGUGGACGAGGCAGAAGAGAGAAUGCUGGAAUAAGUAGCGAGAGCAAGGUGAGAAUCCUUGCCGUCGAAAGUCUAAGGUUUCCUGGGGAAGGUUCGUCCGCCCAGGGUAAGUCGGGACCUAAGGUGAGGCUGAAAAGCGUAGCCGAUGGAUAGCAGGUUGAGAUUCCUGCACUAUAGAUAUACUUAAAAGAUGCAAGGGACGCAGGAGUGGAAGAUAAGCGAGGAAGAGGAAAGACUCGUAUCGCAAGAUAUAGUGAAAAUAAAGUAACGAAUUAUCAAGAAGCACACUGACGAGAAAAGCUUGUAGAUAUUGUAUAUAAAUACCCGUACCGCAAACCGACACAGGUAGAUGAGGAGAGGAUCCUAAGACGAGCGGGAGAAGCAUUGUUAAGGAACUCGGCAAAUUGACCCCGUAACUUAGGGAGAAGGGGUGCCAAGGUAAAACUUGGUCGCAGAGAAGAGUCCCAAGCAACUGUUUAACAAAAACACAGGUUUCUGCUAAAUCGAAAGAUGAAGUAUAGGAGCUGACGCCUGCCCAGUGCUGGAAGGUUAAGGGGAAGGGUUAGGAGUAAUCCGAAGCCUAGAACUAAAGCCCCAGUGAACGGCGGCCGUAACUAUAACGGUCCUAAGGUAGCGAAAUUCCUUGUCAGGUAAGUUCUGACCCGCACGAAAGGCGUAAUGAUUUGGGAGCUGUCUCAACAAUAUACUCGGCGAAAUUGUAGUACUAGUGAAGAUGCUAGUUACCUGCGACAAGACAGAAAGACCCCAUGGAGCUUUACUGUAGCUUGAUAUUGGGUUUCGGUAAUUUAUGUACAGGAUAGGUGGGAGACUGAGAAGUUCUGGCGUCAGCUAGAAUGGAGUCACCCUUGGGAUACCACCCUUAAGUUAUUGAAAUUCUAACCUGUGAUCAUAAACUGGUCAGGGGACAAUGUCAGGCGGGCAGUUUGACUGGGGCGGUCGCCUCCUAAAGAGUAACGGAGGCGCCCAAAGGUUCCCUCAGCACGGACAGAAAUCGUGCGAAAGAGUGCAAAGGCAGAAGGGAGCUUAACUGAAAGACAGACAUGUCGAGCAGAUACGAAAGUAGGGCUUAGUGAUCCGGCGGUAGUGAGUGGAAAUGCCGUCGCUCAACGGACAAAAGUUACCCUGGGGAUAACAGGCUUAUCUCCCCCAAGAGUUCACAUCGACGGGGAGGUUUGGCACCUCGAUGUCGGCUCAUCGCAUCCUGGAGCGGAAGUACGUUCCAAGGGUUGGGCUGUUCGCCCAUUAAAGCGGUACGCGAGCUGGGUUCAGAA